rnacentral:rRNA from 1 species
GGCCGCGGGAAUUCGAUUGGGAUCAAAGGAGCAAUUCGCUUAAGGAGGGGGUCGCGGCUGAUUAGCUAGUUGGCGGGGUAACGGCCCACCAAGGCGAUGAUCGGUAGCCGGCCUGAGAGGGCGCACGGCCACACUGGAACUGAAACACGGUCCAGACUCCUACGGGAGGCAGCAGUGGGGAAUUUUGCGCAAUGGGGGAAACCCUGACGCAGCAACGCCGCGUGGAGGAUGAAGUCCCUUGGGACGUAAACUCCUUUCGACCGGGACGAUGAUGACGGUACCGGUGGAAGAAGCCCCGGCUAACUUCGUG